rnacentral:lncRNA from 1 species
AGAGCUCCUUCCCGAGUCGGUUAUUCCUUUUACCCUUCAUGCUUGAAUAAAUACUUAGACAUAUUAUGGUUCAGUUCUAUUUUAUUAUCUGACUAUCUGGGUUUUCAAUUGGUUUUGAAAUGUACUAAAGGAUUUGAGUUUUCUUGAAAUAAAACAGUUUUCUACCCCUCGUGGUAGCUGGUUUUGAAAAAGAAUGGUUCCCGUGUGGGGAUCAGUUUUCAAAUUGAUUUUUCUGUGGUUUUAUGGAUUUAGUAUUUCAAAAUCAGUUUUCAGGUAGGAAAUAUUUUAACUGAUAGAUGUAUCAUAAUUGAGACACCAGUGAAAUACCCGCGCGAUGCUGUGGAUAUAAAAAUAUUUUUAUAAUAAAUUUUAUUUUUUUAUAUUUUAAUAUAGUUUUAUAAGUCUAAUUAUUAAUUAAAUAAAAAUUAUAUAAAAAUAAUUUAAUUGUUAAAUCUAUUUAAAUAAAAGUCAUUAAAAUUGGUAUAAGUGCAAAGUAAAUUUAUACGACAAUUUAUUUUAUAAAAAUUUAUAUGUAAAUAAUUUGAGAUAAAUCUAUCAAAAUAAUUUUAAAAAAAUCAAUAAAUAGAAGGAAAAUAAAAUUGUAGAUGAAAUUGUUUAAUAAAAUUAAUUAUAUAUACACACAUAUACACUAUAUUUUUAAAAUUUUAGUCCUGAAAUUUAAAUUCUGUAUUUUUUUAUACAGCGAUAUUUUACGUAAUUUAAAUUGCAUCUAUCAUGUUAGUUUUAUUACGCGAUUUAUUACGCAUAUUAUUAAUAAAAUUAAUUAAUUAAUUUCAUAGAAUUUAGAGAUUUAAAAUUUUAAAUUUUGAAGUUUAAAAUUUGAAAAUAAAUAUUAUAAGUUAAAAUUGAAAUUUAGAAUUUAAAAUAUAAAAUAUAAAAUUUGAAUUUUAAACAUUGAAAAUUUGAAAUUUAAAACUUUAAAAUUUAAAAGUAUCAAAAUUUUAAAAUUGAUAUCAAAAUUUAAAAUUUUAUAUUAUAUAUAUAUAUAAUAUUAUAUUAUUAUUAUCAUAUAUAUA